ACAGAUUUAUUGAAAAAUAAAUAUAUUUAUGCAAGUACGGGACGGUACGGGUUUUAAUAUUAUUCAAUUGCGGAGCACGAAAAGCUUACGCGCAAAUUAUCAAGAACUUCAAAAUUGUCAAUAGAAGAGGUUCUAGCACGUACAGUUCCGAUGUUUUACUACAAUUUGAUGUCCAACACAAUGUAAUGUUAUGCUGCAGACAUCGCCGCAGUGUACAACACUGGACAAUCGUAUUUAUAGAUGGUGUUCAUUUCAACAACCUGGGAUUUGAAAAUUUUCCACAAUGUGAGAGAAAUGAUUUUGAAGUGCAUUGCAGAUAUGUAAUUCACAUUUGUACUGGAAGAUACUGUAUUCUAAUUGGUGGCACAUUUGUAUCUAUAUUAUCAUAUAACAGUAAGUAUAGACAUACAUGUAGUAAGUAUAUUAGCCGUCAUAUAUGAUAGAACCAAACCCAUAUGGGGUCCAUUUCAGUUAGAUAAACAAGACUUCCUGCAGGCUUAUGAACAUGGCAGAUCUUGUAUAUCACAAAUUUUCUGUCCAUUUGUGGUAAAAGACUUAUAUGUAGUUAAAUGAACUAAUAGAAUUAUAAAGUCUAAACACAUUGUCUGUAUUUGUUUAUAUAAUUUAAAUGUACUUAAAUGGUCUACUAGAAUUAUAAAAUCUAGACACAUUGUAUUUGUUUAUAUUCUGUUCUAUUAUAUAAAUAAUGGUUACAGACAAGUAAUCUGCAGUCAAAUACACCGCAAGUUGUCAAAUGGGCAACAAAAUAUGAUCGUUUUUGACAGCUGUCUACAUUUAUGUAAUCAAAUGGGCUGCAUGGAGUCAAAUGGGUUACUAAGUCUAUGUUACUCAGAUAUUUUGUCCGUAUUGAUGUAGUCAAAUGGACUACAGUGUAGUCAGAUUGACUGGACUUCUUUGUAUAGUCAAAUGGACUAUAUGUAGUCAUAUGGACUACUUUAUUUAGUCGAUGGAUUAUUUUUUACUGUAUGGCUAAACACAGGAUGACUGCCAUACACUUGUAAAAUGUUACAAGAAGAGAUUUUUGUAAAUACAUGUAUUAUCUCGUGGAAGCUGAUCUUUACAUGCUCUUUUAAUAAGUAUAGAUAUAGUAAGUAUAUUAGCCUGUCAUAUAUGAUAGAACCAUUUCAGUUAGAUAAACAAUACUUUCUGCAGGCUUAUGAACAUGGCAGAUCUUGUAUAUCACAAAUGUUCUGCCCGUUUGUAGUAAAAGACUAAAUGUAAGUAACUGGACUAAUAAAAUUUAUAAAAUCUAAACAGAUUGUCUGUAUCUGUUUAUGCGUUUGUGGCCGAUUAGUUUAAAUGUAGUUAAAUGGUCUACUAGAAUUAUAAAAUCUAGACACAUUGUCUUUAUUUUCUUAUAUUCUGUUCCACUAUAUAAAUAAUGGUUACAGACAAUUUGUAGUCAAAUACACCGCAAGUUGUCAAAUGGACAACAAAAAUGAUUGUACUUGACAGCUGUCUACAUUUAUGUAGUCAAAUGGGCUGCAUGGAGUCAAAUGGGCUACUAAGUCUAUGUUACUCAGAUAUUAUGUCCGUAUUGAUGUAGUCAAAUGGACUACAGUGUAGUCAGAUGGACUACUUUGUAUAGUCAGAUGGACUUCUUCGUAUAGUCAAAUGGACUAUAUGUAGUCAUAUGGACUACUUUAUUUAGUCGAUGGAUUAUUUUUACUGUAUGGUUAAACACAGGAUGACUGCCAUACACUUGUAAAAUGUUACAAGAAGAGAUUGUUGUAAAUACAGUAUUUCUUGUGGAAGUUGAUCUUUACAUGCUCUCGUAUAUGGUUUUCUAUUUCAUAUGCCACCAAGACAGCGAAGGCUGCUGCAGCUGGGGAAGCUGCUAAAACCGAACGAAGAACAAACCAAAUUGAGCAGGUUUCAGAAGCUAACACAUCCAAUUUAUCAGAAAAAGACUUGAACACAAUUAUAUCAAAUGUUGUUCCUGCUGUCACGCAAGGUAUGUUGUAGGUUUUAAAAGACUUGAAGGUACUACCGCCUGACUAUUCAGAACCAAAACUUCGGAAAAGAACAGAUACCUUUGGAAUCCACACAAAGCACUUCAACAUUGCUCCAACACCGACUUUGCCAGCUUCAGUUUUGAAUCAAAAUUCUGCCACAUUUUUGCAUCCACUUUUUCUUGGUAUUGAUGAAAAAAUCAAAGCUAAGAUUGUAUCAGAUCAGUUUGUGGAGUUAGAUUCCAUAUAAAAUAAAGGCGAUUAUCAAUACCAUUUAGUCGAAAAUGGCAGUGGGGAACUCUCGUUCAAAAAAGUUUUAAAUUGUCGACCAGUAUAAAAACGCUGGAUCAAAGGUUUAAUACAUUUCAUAUUUUUACAAGUGUUUACACAGACAGACACCCAACAUCUGCUGCUACUUUAAUGAAACAUUGCGACACAGUUCGUAAACUUGCAAAGCAAUCGGGGGAUUCCGCUGCCAUUUUUACGAUAGACAAUUUAGUGUCUUAAAAGAAGCAAGAUUGGCUUUGAUUUCAUAUGGGGAAAUCGAUACCCAGUUUUACACGCAGGCACUGGUCAUGGGGUUAAUUAAACCAAAACAAAAACAGUCCUUUCUUGGCGCAAGAUCCCACCAAAACAGACCGUGCUUUGAUUUUAACAACGGGUCUAGUGCCAGAAAAUCGUGCAUCUUUCAGCACAGAUGUCAAAAGUGCCCCGGUCCUCAUGGACGAAUUGUGUGUUUUUAAAAAGGUGCAAUCAAAUUUCAAGUCAAAGAACUGAUAACGAAACCGUAUGCAAGGUGCCUGCAGUCUUAAAUAAGGCUACUUUUCAUAUUGUUAAACCAAUUAAUUCUGAUAACCUACGAUACUGGCUCCAAGGUACUACUUGAAAUUAACUGAAUAUUUGAUGAAUGGCUUCACAAAGGGCUUUAAAAUACCUUUUACAGGUAUUCAUUCUUAUAAAUUUCCUGGGAAUUUCAAAUCUGCGACUGAAAAUUUAGAGGGCAUAAAAUCACUGUUGAAAUUGAUGCAGUUCGUGUUGCGGGUCCUUUGAAUGAACCACCUUUUAGCAACUUUAUGACCUCAACUCUGGGUUUAGUACAAAAUCAGGAACCCAGUGAAUUUCGUGGAAUACAUUAUUUCUCAUUUUCAGAAGGUCAACUGUUAAGGCUGGAAUCCCAUCAGAAUUGUGUUUUGUUCAAUAUUAAUGCAGUAGAACUUGUGAAAACUAUUGGACCUGGUACGCUUCUGUCAAAAUUUAUGUCCAAAAUGCAUUUCAAAUCAUUCCAAUUCAGUUGUAGGCUUGGUAAACAUCUCAGGACCUAAGUAUUAUAUGCCUGGUCAAAAGAUUAGUUCUACAAUGUUUGAAAUAUAUCUUUUUAUUUUAAGACACGCAUUUUAAAAGCAUUGCAAGGUUAUCAUAAUUUAGUUCCUAAAACAGACACACGUUUGCCAGUUGCAUAACUUAAUACGGUCAAUGGACGUAGUUUGCAAUUCGCAAUUUCUACGUGUACUGCUAACAGCCAUUUAUUUAUUGACCUUUUAUGUUUUCCUUCGAGUUGGAGAAUUUACUUCUUCCUCUCCUGACUCGUAUAUUAUAGUAGUAGAAUAUGUAUAUAUAACAUUCAAUCGAACUAAAUAGCUUUGACUUGGUUCUGAAAAGCUAUAAAUAUAGUCGAGGCAAGACCCAUAAACUGCAUAUUUCAUGUUGUCACUAUGAAUUAGGUAUGUGCCCUUUGCAUGCAUUGUACUCGUAUUAUACAUUAAGUAACGCUCCACCUGGCCCACUAUUUUCGUUUUUGAUAAUCAUCCAGUGACAAGAUAUUUCUUUUGUACCAAGCUUCAAAUGUCACUCACUCGGUUAGGUUAUAGUAAUGACUUUUACAAAGGUCAUAGUUUCCGCAUAAGUGCGGCAUUGCAAAGAGGUUUAUGGGGAGUUUCAGAAAA
rnacentral:lncRNA from 1 species